GACGAACGCUGGCGGCGUGCCUAAUACAUGCAAGUCGAACGCUUCUUUCCUCCCGAGUGCUUGCACUCAAUUGGAAAGAGGAGUGGCGGACGGGUGAGUAACACGUGGGUAACCUACCCAUCAGAGGGGGAUAACACUUGGAAACAGGUGCUAAUACCGCAUAACAGUUUAUGCCGCAUGGCAUAAGAGUGAAAGGCGCUUUCGGGUGUCGCUGACGGAUGGACCCGCGGUGCAUUAGCUAGUUGGUGAGGUAACGGCUCACCAAGGCCACGAUGCAUAGCCGACCUGAGAGGGUGAUUGGCCACACUGGGACUGAGACACGGCCCAGACUCCUACGGGAGGCAGCAGUAGGGAAUCUUCGGCAAUGGACGAAAGUCUGACCGAGCAACGCCGCGUGAGUGAAGAAGGUUUUCGGAUCGUAAAACUCUGUUGUUAGAGAAGAACAAGGACGUUAGUAACUGAACGUCCCCUGA
rnacentral:rRNA from 1 species